GUGAAUCAUCGAAUUUUUGAACGCAAAUUGCACUCUCCUCGAAGAGUAUGCCUGUUUGAGGGUCAGCCUCUAAAAAAUCGACAUCGUUGCUGUUGCGCGGCGGCGUUCGUCGGCGAUUGGGUCAUCUUAUAUCCUUUUGGUUUUUAAGCGUCUUAAAAUUUUCUUUUUGGUUCCAUGAUCGCUUCUUAGAUU
rnacentral:misc_RNA from 1 species